AACUACAUAUAUUGAGGUAAAGAUGAAUAGCAGGGCAAAACAAGAGAGAUGGGACUGGUGGGACCAUUUCUUCUGCCUGUCCGGUUCUCAUUCUCAGAAUAUCUUGAAGAGCAGGCCACCGUGCGUGGCAAAGAAUGGAGCAAAGACGAGUGAUUCAACAGCCAUCAGUUUGAUGAGGAUGUUAAGUGAUGGUCCAGAUGUAUCCUUCAAUGGAUCCCCAAUGGUGUCACCAAUAACAGCUGCCUUGUGUGGAUCUGAUCCUUUAGGGCCAAGAGAUCUUGCAUGCUCUGAAGCACCAGCCUGUUUCCAACAGAACAAAUACAGGGCAUAUUCGCAUUACAAAAACCUUUAUUUCAGCACGCACACCAAAUUACAAAUAAAGAAGUGAUAAAGCUCACUCGAUCUAUACCUCAAUAUAUUUCUUGGCAUUAUCCCAUGCACCACCAGUGUUGGAGGCAGAGAUGGCAAUCUGAACAACAGAAACAAAAUGAUCAGACAAGCGGUAACAGGACAUCUAUAACCUGAACAAAUAUGAUCUCAAAUUUAUGUUGACUAAGGACAUUCUGUUGACCAGUAGCCUUAGCAUUACCUGGACACCAGACACAAGGGAUCCAGCAAGGACACCAGAUAGAGUUUCAACACCGAAAAAGAUCCCAACAAUGAGGGGUGUGAGCAUGACAAGUGCACCAGGUGGGAUCAUCUCCUUGAUAGAUGCAUCAGUGGAGAUCUUAACACAGGUGGCAUAGUCAGGCUUGGCAGUGCCUUCCAUCAAGCCAGGGAUGGUGUUGAAUUGCCUGCGAACUUCCUCAACCAUCUUAAGUGCUGCACUUCCCACGCUCUUCAUUGUCAUGGCAGAGAACCAGUAAGGAAGCAUUGCACCCACAAUCAAACCAAUGAAAACUUUUGGAGUCAAUACAUCGACUGUUGAGAUAGAUGCACGGCUGACAAAGGCACCAAAGAGGGCCAGGGAGACAAGAGCUGCAGAGCCAAUGGCAAAUCCCUGAAAAAAGCAGCACAUUGAUCAAUUAGAAGUGUGAAUAAAACCUUAUGAUCUGUGAGUUCAACAAGUCAUUGUCAGAUGCUUCUUUUCAAUGAAAAACAAAAUUAAUGAUGUGUUCUACAACUAAUGAUGUAAAUACAACUUCACUGCAAAAAAGACUCAAGCUCCCAACAAAUUAUAAAUUGCCAGAAAGAUUAAGGCCCCUACAGAAGCCUUGUUCCCAACUAAAAACAAAAUCAUGUGUCCAAAAUGACAGCACAUGGAACAGUAUUAAGCACCCUCAUUUCUCCUUUUUAUUUGGAGAAGGGAAAGGCAAUUCCAUGAUAAGUGGUCCUAGGAAUUUGCAAUGAGAUAGAUGGUAACGCCCAACUUGUCUAAUCAUAAAAUAAAAAAUCUAAAGUUUCAUUUUUAAAAGGAAGAAAACACAGAAAACCAAAACUACAGCUGGGGCAAGUUGCCUAUUUCCUUGGUUGUGUGCUGUGUGCACCACUUCAAUGUGAUCUCAUAACAAAAAAUCAGUAAAACCACUGACCAAACACAUCAAUGCAUGAAAAAAAAAAUAUGCAAACCCGCAUUCUAACAUGACAUGUAAAAGCAACUACAGAUUGCUUACAUCGACUACAAUUAAAAAGGAAGUGGUUAAAGCUCAAGACAGUUUUUCAGACCUUCCCAAUAGCAGCAGUGGUGUUUCCAGCAGCAUCAAGGGCAUCAGUUCUUUCUCGGAUUCUGUGGCUCAUGCCUGCCAUCUCAGCAAUACCUCCGGCAUUGUCACUAAUGGGACCAUAUGCAUCUAUUGCCAACCCAGUGGCAAUGGUGCUCAACAUUCCAAGGGCAGCUACAGCAAUACCAUACAUAGCAGCAAAAGAGAAACUAACAAAAAUGCUGGCUGCGAUAGCAAAGAUAGGAAUGAUGACAGAUUUGUAUCCCAAUGCAAGCCCAAAAAUAACAUUAGUGGCAGCUCCAGUUCGGCAGGAAUCAGCAACAUCUUGAACAGGG
rnacentral:lncRNA from 1 species